AGUGAACGCUGGCGGCAGGCCUAACACAUGCAAGUCGAGCGGCAGCGGGUCCUUCGGGAUGCCGGCGCGCGGCGGACGGGUGAGUAAUGCGUCGGAAUCUGCCUUUUUGUGGGGGAUAACGUAGGUAAACUUACGCUAAUACCGCAUACGACCUACUGGUGAAAGUGGGGGACCGCAAGGCCUCACGCAGAAAGAUGAGCCGACGUCGGAUUAGCUAGUUGGCGGGGUAAAGGCCCACCAAGGCGACGAUCCGUAGCUGGUCUGAGAGGAUGAUCUGCCACACUGGAACUGAGACACGGUCCAGACUCCUACGGGAGGCAGCAGUGGGGAAUAUUGGACAAUGGGCGCAAGCCUGAUCCAGCCAUGCCGCGUGUGUGAAGAAGGCCUUCGGGUUGUAAAGCACUUUUGUCCGGAAAGAAAUACUGUCGGCUAAUACCCGGCGGGGAUGACGGUACCGGAAGAAUAAGCACCGGCUAACUUCGUG
rnacentral:rRNA from 1 species